ACACAUUUUAGAGCCUAAUUCACUUUAAUUAACAAUCAAAAUUACAUUCAAAUCCAAAUUCAAAACUUUAAUGCUAAAGUAUAUUCUUAAAUAAAUUUAUUGUAAUCCAUCUCUACUUAUAUAAGCUGCACCUUGAUCUGAUCUUUUAUAUAAUUAAAUAUUCCAAUUAUAUAUUUUUAAAAAUAAUUUUUAACGACGAUAUACAAGCAAAAUAAAAGUUUUAUUAAUCGUGGAUUAUCGAUUACAGGACAGAUUCCCCUGAUUGGAAUAAAAAACCGCCAAAUUUUUUGAUUUUGAAGUUCGUAACUAAUAUUUAUCAGGUUUCCAAUCUACAUUUAGAAUAAUGGGGUAUCUAAUCCCAGUUUAUCAUCUAAAUUUCUUAACUUCAAAAUCAAAAAUCUAAUUAAAUAAAAAAUAGGAUUCCACCCAAUAUUUAUUAAAAUAAAAAUUUAUUCAUUAAUAAUUAAAUAUAACCAAAAAAAAAUAGUAGCAUUAUUUGUUUAACCGCA
rnacentral:rRNA from 1 species